ACGGCUUUUUCCUUACACAAAAAGGGAGACGACUUGUGGAAGCAGCUCAGUCCCAACAAGUUUCAGCAUGCAUAGCUUCCACUACUUGAUAUCCAUUGUUCUCUUCGUUGCCGUCCUGUUUCCAGGAGGUGACGGGUUGCCGGCCGAAAUAAUUGAAGAGGACGUGUACAGUCAGCCGAUUUCAGACACUAAAGAUUGCAUCGGAAAGGAUCCAGUAGAACUGCCAGUACCACAGCCUAAAGAGUGGCGGACUGAGGGUAAAAUCGAUGACGACUGGGAUCCAGAAAAGAAGGUGGACGUGGUAGAUGUAACAUACAAAGAGGUCGUACCAGGUAGCGGCGACUGGGAUAGCAGAGACGACAAAAACAGUGGCGCAUGGGAGUCUGGUGAGAAAGGAUGGAAGAAACAUGGCAGACGAGGGAGGAAGAAAGGUCACGGUUUGGGUAGAACUGUGUCGCGACUGGCGCACGGUUAUUGAGCGAACUGACAACAUCGUCGUUCAAGAGCUGCACUGAAUUCUUAUCAUCUACGUAACUGAAUACGGAAGCUCAUGGAGAAGCUCAACAUCUACUUCAGGAAGACUGAGAACACAACGACAAUUCCAUUUGUCAACCAUAAUGGAAAUUAAUAUAGUUGAAUAAAUACCUCUUAG